rnacentral:rRNA from 1 species
UACGAAGGGGGGCUAGCGUUGUUCGGAAUCACUGGGCGUAAAGGGCGCGUAGGCGGCCGAUCAAGUCGGGGGUGAAAGCCUGUGGCUCAACCACAGAAUUGCCUUCGAUACUGGUUGGCUUGAGACCGGAAGAGGUAAGUGGAACUGCGAGUGUAGAGGUGAAAUUCGUAGAUAUUCGCAAGAACACCAGUGGCGAAGGCGGCUUACUGGUCCGGUUCUGACGCUGAGGCGCGAAAGCUAGGGGAGCAAACGGG